AUGAGGUCAAACAUCCAGGUCUUCAAAUAUCUGUUGCUCUGGGUCUCUGAUGUCUGCAGUGACAUUGUUAUGACCCAGUCUACAGCCUCCCUGACAGGGCCAGCUAGAGAGAGCACCACCAUCUACUGCAAGUUCAGCCAGAGUCUUCUAUACAGUGUUGUUGAUGAGAACCUGUUAUCAUGGUACCAGCAAAAACCAGGAGAACCUCCCAGACUACACAUCUACUGGGCAUCAAGCAAGGAAUCUGGUGUCCCAGACAGGUUCAGUGGCAGUGGGCCUGGCAUGGAUUUCACUCUCACCAUUACCAGCAUUCAAGGUGAAGAUGUGGUGGAUUAUUACUGUCUGUGGACUUUUAGUACUCCUCCCACAGUGUUUCAGCCUGGAACACAAACUUCCUCUCACUGUCUCCCCAUCUGCUUUCUCCCUACAAGGCCCAGGGCUUGAACACUUCCUUUUGCUGUCUGCUAGACUGUGUUCCCCUGAUACAAGAGGAAGUCUGCAGGGCUGAACAGAACAUAAAGGAGCUCACUGUUUGCUAGAUAUUUUGCUAUAGGAAAAUCCAGCCAAAAUAUUUGUAUUGAUGUUUUAUUGUUUUAUGAUAGUUUAGAAACUCACAUCUAUAAAAUGUGGAAUUCAUCAAUUUAUAGUUGCAUAAGAUAAAAUCCAACACCAGAUUCAAAAGCUGAAAUUAACAUAUUGUCAGCUUCCCAUUUGUACAUUGUAGGACAGAAUCUGUCUCUUCCCUUUCCUGUAUCUUGAGUUUUUUUCCUUCCUUGACUUGUGGCCUUUUCCCUCAUCACCAGAACAAGCAGUAUUUCAUUUUCUAAUGCUUGUUCCACUGUGACCUUUCUCUCUGAAUAUCCCUUUCUGCUUUUCAAACGUAAAUUAGGAAAUGUGUGCAUACCUCUAAUGAUGAACAUAAUUUUGCAUUUAUUAGCACACUCCCUUCAG